rnacentral:lncRNA from 1 species
UCAUUCUUCUUCUUCGUCGCUUCAUUCUUGAAACCCUAGAUUCACAUCUCUGCUACUGCAGAUCAUAUCGCCUCUUCUUCCAAUGUCCCAUUUUCUGUAAAACCUAAAUCUUUAUCAUCGCUUAAUCGUCAUUACCACCACAAACUUGGAUUAUCUUCUUAUUUUUGGUGGUGGAGACAACCUACGUAAACCCUAAGUUAAGGUAUUUGAUGAUUGGAACAAAAUGGAAAGAGAUUUGUUUGAGAGGGUUUUUUUUAUUUGAGGGCUGCGUUUUUGGUUUUGAUUCUGCUUGGUUUUGGCGCUUCCUCAAAAAAGGCCGGAGUUUUCUUUUGUAUGUUAUUCUUUCAAUAUUUUUUGGCAUAGAGUAGAAGCUAUGAGCGAUUCGGAAGAGAUCAUCUAACACAAAGAAGGGAAAUGAUGAUGUCAACCAUGGAAGAAGCGAAUCGAGUGAAGAAGAUGUUGCUGGAAAUGCAGACCCAUAAGAAAAUAAGCCACUACAUAACUCAAAUAUUAUAAAGUUUUUAUUUCAUUUCUUUUUAAUCUCAUUCUUCCUUCUUUGUAUUUCCAUUAAUUGAUUUCGCCAUAUUCAUGCUCCAUGAUGGUUACAAAUGUUGCACUAAAUCUGGAUAGUAUACAGCAGGAAGACGUGUUUCUUUUUAAAAUUGUUUCAUCUCACUUUUUGUUUAUUUAGGAAUUCAUGGUUUGUAUAAAAAAGAUCUUUAUUUAGAGAAGCAGUGGGACAUGCACUUGACAUCCAAUGUCUAUUUCGGAGAUGCUGGUAGUAGUGGGAAGAGUGGUGCUGAACUGGUUGAAAAAAGGCUUAGUGAGGUCUCUUGCGAUGGAACAAAGACAGUGAGUUAGGUGGUUCUUCAAGCAGGCGAAGUUUAUUGUGACAAGCAGCCUGCGUCAUGACAACAAGGAUCAUGUGUCGGAUGCGUUUUACCGCUCUAUCCUAGCAAAGAUUCCUCCAGUUGUUGCUUACGUGUUGGUGCCCGUGUAUCACGUUUGGACGAAUUGGUGAGAUCCUCGACAAGGGAACUACUUUACUUACCCAACAUUGUUUAAGCAUAUGUCUAAAGAGGUUGAUGUUACUCUGCGAAAGCUUAUUCGACAAACUUAUGUGCAAAGUUACAAUGGAGAUCUCCUUAAAGCACUUGACAGGGAACUUACAAGUGAUUUUGAGAUGUGAGUGUGAAAAACCUGGUACCUGACCAAGAAUUGUUAAAAAGGAUAUGUUCAGGGUAUGCCAACUACAUGUAAAACUAUCUGAUUCCAUCGCAACAAGUUAGGGUCCACACUUAAAAGCUUGGCUAGAUGGAGUUUUUGGUCAAAUGUCAAGGAGGGCAAGUUUUAACUUUUGAUGAAAUAGCACAGGACAACAACAUAAUAUUGUUAUUAAUUUUUACUUUUAUCUUUUUAUAUGUACACGAAUUAGUUGAGAAAUUCAUGAUUGGGAGCUACAUUUUUUAUUUAAUGUAAUUUAAUAUCUACAUAAGUAACGGAACGUUUCUUUUAUUUCAAGGUUCAUGUUUAAAUGUAUUUUUUGC